rnacentral:tRNA from 1 species
GACUUCGUAGCUCAGCUGGUAGAGCGCUUGCCGCCUUGAGGCACACGGUUUCUGUCGCUGGUUUUAAUCCAGCCGAAGCCC